rnacentral:rRNA from 1 species
AACGUAGGAGACAAACGUUAUCCGGAGUUACUGGGCGUAAAGGGCGUGUAGGUGGUUUCGUAAGUCUGGCGUGAAAUAUCUCGGCUUAACCGAGGCAGGUCGUCGGAUACUGCGGGACUAGAGGACGGUAGAGGCGUGUGGAAUCCAGGUGUAGUGGUGAAAUGCGUAGAGAUCCGGAGGAACACCAGUGGCGAAGGCGACACGCUGGGCCGUACCUGACACUGAUGCGCGACAGCAUGGGGAGCAACAGG